rnacentral:lncRNA from 1 species
GUAUGCCUUUAGAUUUGUAUACGUUAGGUUUUGGUACUAGUGGAGCUUCUUAGAUAACUAACAUAUGUUUUAGUUUCUCUAAAGUUUGAUUAGUUAUUUAUUUAAUUUCAAAGUUAUUUACUGUUUUUAAGAACUUCACUUAUAAGUUAAUUUCUUUUUAAACAAACUUAAAAUAAAUAUCAUUUUAAUAAAUAAUACCAACAAUAGGAUUAACUUCAAAAAUUUAACAAGUUAAGUAUUAAUAAAUCAAAAAAUUAAAAAAAAUCAAAAACCAAAAACCAGAAUUUAUUUACUUUAUUUUAUUUAUUUUUAAAAAAUCUAUUUAUUUUAUUUAUUUUUAAAAUAUUUAUUUUAUUUGAAAUUUUAAAAUGUUAUUUUUUAUAUUUUUUGAAACUUUUAGUUUUUUCAAUUUUUUCGAUUUUUUUUUCUUUUUUCGAUUUUUUUCAUUUUUUUUCGAUUUUUCAAUUUUUUUUCAAAUUUUCUAUGUAUUAU